AGCCACCCCAAAACCAGAAUUUAUUUUUAAGCUGAGGUGGAAGGUCAGCUGCAGGGACACGCUGCCACCUCCCUUCUUGACAUGAGCCUCCUUGAGUUGGCACCAGGAUGUAGCAUGGCUCCCACCCUUGCUUCCCCUUUGGUUGGACACUCUCCAAUGCCAGGGUCAUGCACCAACAGAGCAGCUCCAAGAAAGAGCAUUUUCCAAAGCCCAGAUGACUCAGAGUGGUGAGUGUGACCGGAGGGGAGGUUCAGCACCCAGCUCAGACCUUUGUUUGGGAGUUAACGAUUCCUCCAUGCUGAUUUCACCUGCCUGUUCUAUCGUGCCCAGUGCGGUGAAAACAUCCCAGAUACUCUGUAUUACAAGGCCAGCUCUGCAAUUUUGCUGAGUAACUGUAGGCUGCUCACAUAAUCUUUCUGUAAUUCAAUGAGAUGACUGCAUUUGGAAAAGGUUGGAGCACCCACAUCACAAGCCGAUUCUGGGGGCGAACUGAGGUAAUGCUGUAAAGCACCUCCUAUGCACAGACCCAUGGAGCAUGGGAGUGGAUAUGAAGAUGCUCCCUCACCCCUUCCAGGAAGCUGGUAGCUGACAAGGACUCAGGCUCAGUCACUUCCAGCUGUGUGACCAUGCGUAGGUUUCUCAGCUUCCCUGAGCCUUGAUCAUCUCAUUUAUAAAGAACAAAAUACCCAACUGGAAAGGCUGGCGGUAGGAGUAAAUGCAACUGAAUAUGCAGAAGAGCGUGGCACACAGUAGUGACACAGACUCCCUGCUAGAAGACAAUGAAUGUUGUAAAAAGCAAGAAAAGGGAAAGAAGGCCAGGGGCAGUAGCAGGCGCCUGCAAUCCCAGCACUUUGGGAGGCCGAGGAAGAUGGAUCACCUGAGCUCAGGAGUUUGAGACCAGCCUGGCCAACAUGGCAAAACCCCAUCUCUACUAAAAAUACAAAAAAUUAGUCCAGUGUGGUGGCAGGCGUCUGUAAUCCCAGCUACUCGGGAGGCUGAGGUGGCAGAAUCGCUUGAACCCUGGAGGCAGUGGUUGCAGUGAGCCGAGAUCACGCCAUUGCACUCCAACCUGGGCGACAAGAGUGAAAUUCCAUCUCUUAAAAAAAAAAAAGGAAAGAAAAGUUGACACUUUUUGCGUUCACAAAUGCUACCCCAAAGAUGCACCGUGGUGUUCAGAGGAGGCUAACCAAGGACCGGAGGAGAGGCGAGGUGGUGUGGCUGUUCAGGAUCAGAGCACUGGAACCCAGCAGGACCGUGUGCCUAUCUCAGUUCCACCAUGCCAGAGCCGUGUGACCUGGGGCAGGUAGCAACGUCUCUGAGCCUCAGUCUCCUCACCCCCUCAUCCCUCCACCUCACAGGUGAAGAGUAACCCUGAGACACUGCCCUUAGCAAUGUGCCUCCCACGAAACACCCUGGAGCAUUGAUGGUGAUGAUGAAGGGGUGGAGGGAGGUGGUGGGUCCUACAGUAGAAGGGUGAAGGCAUCUCAGCCAGAAGGAGCUGGGUUCAAGUGCUAGCUCACCCCCUGUCUGGCUGGGUCCCCUUAGACGAGUAACUUUACUUCUCCAAGCCUCUCGCUCCUCAUCCGGGAAAAUAGAGACGAUGAUACCUUCCUCACAAAGUGGUUGGGAGGAUUCACUGAAUGGGUGGCAUGAAAGUCCCCAGCACGGUGACAUCUCCCUCAGCAGAUGUUUCUGCUCUGUCCCUUCACAUGUGGCAUGAGCUCCUGUGUCUCCCUGUCAACGAGUCAUUCGGAAGGAAAGGCUGGUUACUUUGAAUAGACGCAUAGCUCACUACUGAGGAGAAGUCCUCACCAAGGACUGUUGGAAAGAAGACCUGUGUGUAUUCAUGCUCGAGUCCAGACCCCAAUCUGAACCCAUUUGAAGUGCCUCCCUCCCUCCUGCCCCUCCUCCCUGUCCUCCUCCUCCUUUUUCUUCUUCACAGUGAUGUUGUUCUGGACCCACUGAACUUGCUGCUGGACAGCACUUAGAAUGGUGCCCUAAUGCCUGGCACAUAGUAGAUACUUGAAUAUUUAUUAAGUGAAUAAAUAAAUGCUAUAGAAUAAAACUCAGUCCUUUUUUUAACUGGUGGAGCUAAGUCAUUAUUUCCUGCAUUUGUGAAUAUUUUAAAAUUACAAAAUAAAUUUAUAUUGAUUCUAGAAAAAUAAUUAGAAAAUACAGUUGAUUAAAAAGAAAAAAUAACAGUUCCAUGCAAUCCCAUUGUCCAGCCUUAACCACUGGUGUUAAUUUGCUCUACAGGUCCUUCCAG
rnacentral:lncRNA from 1 species